CUUCCUCUCCACGUUCUGUUUCUUCACAGACUUUUCUUUCUUCUCAGUAGACUUUCUCUUAAAAAAAAUUUGCUCCACAGCAAGCAUAGAGCUCCUUGAACUCUUCAAGAUACCCUCAAUAGUAACCAGCAUGUUGACCAACUCAUAAAUGGUGCAAUAGAUCUUAUUCAUAUGGAAGUUUGCAAUAAACUGUCCAUAUGAAUCAGUCAAGGACUGUAAAAUGAGAUCAACCAGCAAGUCCUUAUCCAUAGAUAUAUCGAGCUUCUUAAGCUCUUCGAGAUCCUUGAUCAUUAUCAAAUAAUGAUCGUGGACUGACUGUCCAUCAUGCAUCUUUACUUUGAAGAGUCGCUUGGAUAUUUCGUAGCGAGCUGUGCAACUCUGUUCAUCAUACAACUCUUGUAGGUGAACCAAUAUUUACUUCAUAGUCCUCAUAUCCUCAUGUUACGUUGUAAUUCAUUAGACAUUAGUGCCAAUAUGUAGCACCUAAUCUUGUUGUCAUCAUCCAACCACUUCUCAUGAGACGCUCUUUGAUCAGUGAUCGAAUGGGUUGGAAGAGAGAGAAGGUCUUGAUCAAAGACAUAGGCCAAUUUUUCAGAACUCAAAAUAAUUUUUAAGUUUUGGAGCCAAUCCUUAAAAUUUGAUCUGAUCAACCUAUUGGUUUUUAGGAUCCUG
rnacentral:lncRNA from 1 species